rnacentral:rRNA from 1 species
GUGACCUCAAAUCAGGUAGGACUACCCGCUGAACUUAAGCAUAUCAAUAAGCGGAGGAAAAGAAACUAACAAGGAUUCCCCUAGUAACUGCGAGUGAAGCGGGAAAAGCUCAAAUUUAAAAUCUGGCGGCCUUUUUGCUGUCCGAGUUGUAAUCUAGAGAAGUGUUAUCCGCGCUGGACCGUGUACAAGUCUCCUGGAAUGGAGCAUCAUAGAGGGUGAGAAUCCCGUCUUUGACAUGGACUACCAGGGCUUUGUGAUGCGC